UAUUAUAAUAAUAUAGUAUCAUAACUUACUAGAGUCUAGAUCUAUGAACUUGUCAAUAUUUAUUGUGUUUUAAAUAAUAACAUUGAUAUUAAAUAUCCAUAAUCAAUGUGAAUACCAAGAUGGAGUUUUGCUCAAGUGACAAGUCUAUAAAACCUAAAACCUUACUUAUAAAAUGUAUGCACAUCAAAUAUCAAAAUUAAAGUAUUAUGUCUUUGUUCUGAGAAACUUAUAAAUGUGUAGUUUUGUGUUUUAACAUAUUGGUAUCUGAAUUCAAAGAAAAAUAUAAAAUUUUUUAUGAAAAAAUUGAAUCUUCAAUCAUCGUUUACUGAAUCAAUAAUAGUAUGUUCAAUAUUAAUAUAGACUAUCUCAACUUAAAUUGAUAUUUGUUAUUGUCUACAACUACACUACUACCAACGUCAAAUUUGGUGUAUUAUAUUAUUGUAGUCAAUCAGUCUAAACUAAUUCCAUCAAUACAUUGUCGAAUGUUGUGGUAUUCAAUUUUUAGUAAAUUUAUAGGUGUUUUAUUUUAAGUUACUGUGGCACACUAUUGCAGAUAACGGUUUUCCAUUAAGUCAGUAAGAAGAAUAAGAUGAAUUCACAAGUUCAAAUCAAAUAUUAGACAACUAUAUAUUUAUUUAUUCAGCUAAAAAUGUAAUUCAAUAAAAUAAUUUAAAAGUACUUUAUCAUUUUAAAAGUGACAUAAAGUAUUUAAACAC